GUGAAUCAUCGAAUUUUUGAACGCAAAUUGCACUCUCCUCGGAGAGUAUGCGCGUUUGAGGGUGAGACUAUAAAAAAUCGACAUCGUUGCUGUUUCGCGGUGACGUUCGUCGGAAAUUGGGUCAUCUUAAAACUUAUUGGUUUUAAGCGACUUAAAAUUUUAUUUUUGGUUUUAUGAACGUUUCUAAGUUUUAUUUCUUUACACGUUUAUGGGUAUAGUUUUUUAUUAGACGUGA
rnacentral:misc_RNA from 1 species